GAUGAACGCUAGCGGGAGGCCUAAUACAUGCAAGUCGAACGCCCCGCAAGGGGAGUGGCGUACGGGUGCGUAACACGUACACAACCUGCCCAAUACUGGAGAAUAGCCUCGGGAAACUGGGAGUAAUACUCCAUAAUAUAUAGGAUUGGCAUCUUUCUUAUAUUAAAGCUCAGGCGGUAUUGGAUGGGUGUGCGUCUGAUUAGCUAGUUGGCGAGGUAACGGCUCACCAAGGCGACGAUCAGUAGCUGGUCUGAGAGGAUGAUCAGCCACACGGGCACUGAGACACGGGCCCGACUCCUACGGGAGGGAGCAGUAGGGAAUAUUGGACAAUGGAGGCAACUCUGAUCCAGCCAUCCCGCGUGGAGGAUUAAGGUCCUAUGGAUUGUAAACUUCUUUUCUUUAGGAAUAAAAACUGGGAUUCAUCCUAGCUUGAAGGUACUAGAGGAAUAAGCACCGGCUAACUCCGUGCCAGCCGCCGCAGUAACAC
rnacentral:rRNA from 1 species